CUGGAGAUAAUGAUGACGUUUACAAGCACAUAUCCUAAUCCUUUUAUGUGGAAAUAAUCUACUGAAUCUCCCAU